UGACCGCGGAGGAUAUUA
rnacentral:rRNA from 1 species